rnacentral:lncRNA from 1 species
GAUAAUGGAAUCAUUUGUGCCAUCCCGCAGCCACUACUAGGAUCUAUAUUGUUAAAAAUAUUGUUAGUAUGGUGAUGUGCUUCCUUUGAUGGCGGGCUUGCCCGUCCUGACAAUAAAAAUAGUUGCUAUUUUGCACAAUAUAUUUGCAAUGAAAUCCACAUGUUUUAUCUAUGUAUAGCCUUCCUUUGAUGGUUUGGUUCAGCCUAAAUGUUGGCGCACUUUGGAAAAUUUGAAGCUCCUCUUUCAAGGUAUAGUGGCAGCAUCAUGACUCUGCAUUGCUAAACUUGUGCACUUGCAGCUCUUGCCAUUCUUUCAUUUUUUGGUCGUAUUGGGCUUAGCAAAAUAUAAAAAUCACACAACUUUCAGUGAGUGAGAGCACCAAAACUGCUACUACAUUUUCUGAACUGCUUUCCCAUUAUUGUGUUCUAAUGAUGGUCAGAUCCGAGGAAUACAAGGUGCAUAUCUUCGACAAGCUAAGUGGGAUUGCGGUUCGUGUACUCAUCAACCAUAAUCUCCCGAGACUUCAGGAAGCACAUCUCCUAUCCUUGUUUUGAUUCCAAGCUCUAGGUGCUUUCUGACAUACAUGUUUUCAAAUUCUGUCACAUAGUUCAUGACUAUACUGGAAUUAGUUAAUCCUCUUAGAAAGCAAAAAAGAAAAAUUUAUAGCAUAAAUGUGUUCUCUAUUAAAUCUUGUCCUUUUAAACAUUGUUUUUUGAAUUAAUAUACAUGUAGCAUUUAUGAAAUCACUUCUUCAGUA